ensembl:lncRNA
UUUUUUUUUUUUUUUUAAGUAAGCUCUUUUCUGUCUCUACUAUGAUUACAUCCAUUUACACUCUUCCAGACCAAAUAUAUGCAGGCACUGUGUUUAAUUUGUAAAUGCACCACUAAAUGUAAAUGUAAAAUUGGCAGCUUUGAUGUUGCAGCAUUAAAUAUAGCUUAUCUCACCAGUGACAGUGAGAAACAGACACUCUCCUAGGACUGUGAGUUAUGACAGUCUCUCCAAUGAGUGAAAAAUCAUCCCUGUACAGCUGUCACUGAUGAGAUUUUCCUUUUUCUUAUGCCUCAUGAGUGUUUCAGCAUAGCUGAAGCCACCACUCUGGUGGCAAAGAUGGAGACUGCUUUAAUGCAACUAAGUAAACCCUUUGCACUGCACAGUUUCCUUUGCCAUUAAAAAAAAAAAAAUCUUGAGGAAAAAAGCAUCAAAAAUUGUGCCAGGCCCAGUAAUAUUAACCUAAUACACUAUUUGAUGAAGAGAUUAGAAAAUGACAUGCACACAGUGCCAAGGAUUAAGAAAUGCCUCCAGUGCUCAUGUGAUAUAGAGCAUGACUUCUUUUUGCAGAUUUAUAAAGGUGCAGUUUUAGUCACUUUAACAUAAGAAAUUACCAAGGUGGUUCUUUAAAGAUAACAUCAGAGCACCAAGGAAAUUCAGUCGCAAAUGAGAAAACCAUUGUUCUGGGCAUCAUGUAAAUCAGCUCAGAAAGAAAGGACUUUUCAAAAAGUUUGUAAUCUGUAAAAAAGAGUUUGUAAUCCACAUGCUACUGCCAAGAACACAGCAGAUCAGUAUGAAGUGCUUAUAGAUCCUGGCAAGUGAGACUCUUCAUUCUGUAAUUGUGGAACAAAGACACAUCUUUCAAAACACUCUUGGAAGUUUCAAUCACAGCAGUGUUAGAUAAACAGUGGGUGAUAAAUACUGAUAAAUGAGGGAGCAUACAUAUGUAGCAUACAUAUCCUAAUUUGCCUGUAUCUGACUACAUGACAUUACAUGGCUGUGAUGCUUUUCAGCGUUUGUGCGAGCAACAGACAUUGUAGAAGUAUUUCUGACCACAGUACAGAAGUAGGAUGCCACAAUGCAGUCAUUUCUUCCACAACAGGAGCAGAGGACCCAAACUAAGAGGGUAGCACCUUGAUUAAAAGGAAACAGGAACAACUGCUAAGAUCUCUGUGAGCCACUUUUGUACUAAUUUAUCUGAUAAUUAUAUUUGAGUGAAUUGGCCAUGAGUCUACUUAAUAAAACAUUUAGGAGGGACUUCUGACCAGCCAACACACACAGAUUCACAGACCACCCUCACUCUCUUCCUCCUUACAUAUAGCAUGUUCUCUUGAUCCCCUCAGAUACAUAUCCCUAGGAGAUGAAAGGGGAGGACGUUUUGUUGUUGCUGUUUUACUUUUUGUGCAUAACAGCUCACUUCAAAACAGACAAGCUAUCACAGAGGACUGGGCAUUUCCACUUUAAAAUAUUUCACGUAUUGGAGAAAACCUUUUUGAAUGAUACCUUCCUAAAGGUCUUUAGAAGAGAAGACUAACAAGUAAUUCUCCUUUUUUUUUUUCUACCUAGAAGAUGAGGACAUGUCAAAACUUACUCAAUUCCACUAAGAGAGGAUGGGUACUAGUAUCAAAGCUAGCCAUUGCCAAACUUGGACAGUGUGGUCUUUCUCUGGAAACUACUGAACUCCUGCCCAUCAAAGUUGGGCUGUCAAAGUCUUUUCUUUCAGGAACUGAAGUUUUGCAUAAAUAAAAUAUAUAAAAAAAAUAAUAAAAAAAUAAAACAAAAUAAAACAUCUCUCUGCUAAAAAGUUUUGCUGAGAAUCACCCAGAGACCCAAUUCUGUUAUUAAAGCAAGUAAGUUGAAAUGGGAUCCUAGACCUGCCAUCAUAUAGAAAAAAAAAGCAGUCAAAUUUCAAAGGGUAAAACAUAAUAAUGCAGUUAUUUUUUAAGAGAUACAGGAAAUAAUUGACUAGAAAUUUAAGUUUUCCUUCUCUCACUAAGCAUGAGAACAUUUCAAUCUUCAGUUAGCACUAUCUGAAGAGAAACAAGCAUGCAAAGCAUACAGCAAGGCCAGGAGACCUGAAACAAGAUGAAUUUGCUCUACAGCAAAUGCAGGAGCACUGGGAGACAGUAAGGUCUGAGGGAGCUAGAAGCGACUAGAAGAAAUCUGAGCUAAAGAAGGUGACAAAAUAUUUUACAUGGUUUUGAGCUCCUGUUGCAAGAUAGGCUUGCAUGUAAUUCUGUCAUUUCUUGGCCACAAAUGACAGCUGAGAGAAAUUUCCUGUUGAUUACAAUAGAACUUUCAACCUAAAAGAGCCCGAAAGAUGUGGUGCGGUUUAUAACAGAGUUCCAGAAACAGAAUAUAGACUGUGCACACAGGUAUCCAAAUAGG